rnacentral:sRNA from 1 species
GUCGGGCGUGGUGUUGCACACCUGUAAUCCCAGCUACUCAGGAGGCUGAGGCAGGAGGUUCAAGAGUUCUAGGCCAGCCUGGUUGACUUAGUAAAACCUGUCUCAA